GACGAACGCUGGCGGCGUGCUUAACACAUGCAAGUCGAACGGAAAGGCCUGCUUUUGUGGGGUGCUCGAGUGGCGAACGGGUGAGUAACACGUGAGUAACCUGCCCUUGACUUUGGGAUAACUUCAGGAAACUGGGGCUAAUACCGGAUAGGAGCUCCUGCUGCAUGGUGGGGGUUGGAAAGUUUCGGCGGUUGGGGAUGGACUCGCGGCUUAUCAGCUUGUUGGUGGGGUAGUGGCUUACCAAGGCUUUGACGGGUAGCCGGCCUGAGAGGGUGACCGGCGACAUUGGGACUGAGAUACGGCCCAGACUCCUACGGGAGGCAGCAGUGGGGAAUAUUGCACAAUGGGCGGAAGCCUGAUGCAGCAACGCCGCGUGCGGGAUGACGGCCUUCGGGUUGUAAACCGCUUUCGCCUGUGACGAAGCGUGAGUGGCGGUAAUGGGUAAAGAAGCACCGGCUAACUACGUG
rnacentral:rRNA from 1 species